rnacentral:rRNA from 1 species
UACGAAGGGGGCGAGCGUUGCUCGGAAUCACUGGGCGUAAAGGGUGCGUAGGCGGGUUUUUAAGUCAGAGGUGAAAUCCUGGAGCUCAACUCCAGAACUGCCUUCGAAACUGACGAUCUUGAGUUCGGGAGAGGUGAGUGGAACUGCGAGUGUAGAGGUGAAAUUCGUAGAUAUUCGCAAGAACACCAGUGGCGAAGGCGCUCACUGGCCCGAUACUGACGCUGAGGUGCGAAAGCGGGGGGAGCAAACAGG